rnacentral:rRNA from 1 species
GUCCACGCCGUAAACGAUGAGUGCUAAGUGUUAGAGGGUUUCCGCCCUUUAGUGCUGCAGCUAACGCAUUAAGCACUCCGCCUGGGGAGUACGGUCGCAAGACUGAAACUCAAAGGAAUUGACGGGGGCCCGCACAAGCGGUGGAGCAUGUGGUUUAAUUCGAAGCAACGCGAAGAACCUUACCAGGUCUUGACAUCCUCUGACAACUCUAGAGAUAGAGCGUUACCCUUAGGGGGACAGAGUGACAGGUGGUGCAUGGUUGUCGU